rnacentral:rRNA from 1 species
AGAGUUUGAUCAUGGCUCAGGACGAACGCUGGCGGCAUGCCUAAUACAUGCAAGUCGAACGAACACUUCGGUGUUAGUGGCGCACGGGUGCGUAACGCGUGGGAAUCUGCCCUUGGGUUCGGAAUAACAGUUGGAAACGACUGCUAAUACCGGAUGAUGACGUAAGUCCAAAGAUUUAUCGCCCAAGGAUGAGCCCGCGUAGGAUUAGCUAGUUGGUGGGGUAAAGGCCUACCAAGGCGACGAUCCUUAGCUGGUCUGAGAGGAUGAUCAGCCACACUGGGACUGAGACACGGCCCAGACUCCUACGGGAGGCAGCAGUAGGGAAUAUUGGACAAUGGGCGAAAGCCUGAUCCAGCAAUGCCGCGUGAGUGAUGAAGGCCUUAGGGUUGUAAAGCUCUUUUGCCCGGGAUGAUAAUGACAGUACCGGGAGAAUAAGCCCCGGCUAACUCCGUGCCAGCAGCCGCGGUAAUUC